rnacentral:tRNA from 2 species
GCGAGCGUGCUGGAAUAGGCAGACAGGCAGGCUUGAGGUGCCUGUGUUCGUAAGAUCGUGUGGGUUCAAGUCCCAUCGCUCGCACCA